rnacentral:lncRNA from 1 species
GACAUUCCAAAGAAGAACUACCUGCUGAUUUACCAUAUUGACAUCCUGCUAAUCGGACCUGGUGAGCAAAAAGUGAAAAGGCCUAGUCAAACGGGGGUGUGCGAGAGAAUGCACAGGAUACUGUCACAUUGCUGAAGUUUUUAUGGUCCAUCCAUCUGGGAUAUUCCAGAACAUCUUCUGUAAGAUGACAGACAAGUUUCAGUACAUCAUGCCUUUUGCCACUAGGAAGGGGACACUGUGCUUGAUGAACCAGUUGGUGAGCCACUUUGGAUUUUGGAGGCAAUACAUUACUGCAUUUGGGAAUCCCGUUAUUCUCUACUUACUGGGUACCUUGGAAGACUUCCAAGUAGGGCUGAGAAGUAAAGAAGUUCAGCAGCAGAUCUAGGUCUCACUGCAAAUAUCUCCUGCCAUUUACAGAUUUGGGUCCAGCAGAUCUGAUGCUGUUGAGGGUAACUAGGGUGAGUAAGGAUGCUGGUUCGAAUCUCAGAUGAGCUCCAGCAGGAAAGUCCAGCACAGACUCCUAGGGUCCUGAAGCAAGGUGAGACUUUACCUUAUUCUCACCAGUCUUUACUUAUUUCAUUCCCAGGACCCACCAUCCCACUCACUUAUCCCCAUCAGAACCCACAAUUUCAACCCUACUUCCAAGUGCUGGGCUGUUUUCUCAGGGAAGCCAAUAUGCACCACAAACCUGGUCUUUGCUCUGUGGGGCAAGCCUAGAGCUCUCCUGAGACCCUGUAUACCUGUAUACCUGAUGUCCCUGAUAUGGCUCUGAAGAUCAGAGGGUCAAUUUAGUGGCUCUGCUGACCAAGAUGUUUGUGAUAGCAAAGGAUGCAGUACAGGGGUACUCUGGCACUUCAUCCAAAGACAUCAAAAAUAUCCCUGCUAGUAGGAUGCUCUCAUGUCCUGGAAUUCUAGGAUAAGAGUAUAAUAAACCCUAUGUGUCCCUGGUAAGUGUAAGGAGAGCCUUAUUAAAUGAGAUAUCUCAAACUUGAACCCUGCAAGUCACAACUGGUUUUUCCAAGACUGUGCACAUAACACAUAACACUGAUUUUAGUGAAAGCAAAGGAAAGCACACGCCACGCAGGCCAAUUGAAGAAAAUAAUAAUAAAAAAAAAGGUCACUGGAAUCCACUAAUGCCAGAAGGUGGAAAAGCUAAGCCAAUCAACAUGGUGUGCUGAGAAUUCAAAUGCACCCUACUCACAGACACAG